rnacentral:rRNA from 1 species
GUGCCAGACUCCUACGGGAGGCAGCAGUGAGGAAUAUUGGUCAAUGGGCGCGAGCCUGAACCAGCCAAGUCGCGUGAGGGAUGACGGUCCUAUGGAUUGUAAACCUCUUUUGCCGGGGAGCAACGGGCGCCACGUGUGGCGUCACUGAGAGUACCCGGAGAAAAAGCAUCGGCUAACUCCGUGCCAGCAGCCGCGGUAAUACGGAGGAUGCGAGCGUUAUCCGGAUUUAUUGGGUUUAAAGGGUGCGUAGGCGGAGCUAUAAGUCAGUGGUAAAAUGGGGGGGCCCACCCCCUCCCCGCCAUUGAAACUGGCGUUCUUGAGUGGAAGAGAAGUAUGCGGAAUGCGUGGUGUAGCGGUGAAAUGCAUAGAUAUCACGCAGAACUCCGAUUGCGAAGGCAGCAUACCGGCGCGCAACUGACGCUCAUGCACGAAAGCGUGGGUAUCGAACAGGAUUAGAUACCCCAGUA